rnacentral:rRNA from 1 species
UACGUAGGGUGCGAGCGUUGCCCGGAUUUAUUGGGCGUAAAGGGCGCGUAGGCGGCCACGCACGUCCGUUGUGAAAUCGCCCGGCUCAACUGGGCGGGGUCAGCGGAUACGGUGUGGCUCGAGCAAGCUAGGGGGCAAUGGAAUUCCCGGUGUAGUGGUGGAAUGCGUAGAUAUCGGGAGGAACACCAGUGACGAAGGCGGUUGCCUGGAGCUUUGCUGACGCUGAUGCGCGAAAGCGUGGGGAGCGAGUCCGG